rnacentral:rRNA from 1 species
ACAGAGGGGGCGAGCGUUAAUCGGAAUUACUGGGCGUAAAGCGCGCGUAGGCGGCUGGAUAAGUCGAUUGUGAAAGCCCCGGGCUCAACCUGGGAAUUGCAGUCGAGACUGUUCGGCUAGAGUGUGGGAGAGGGCAGUGGAAUUCCCGGUGUAGCGGUGAAAUGCGUAGAUAUCGGGAGGAACAUCAGUGGCGAAGGCGACUGCCUGGCCCAACACUGACGCUGAGGUGCGAAAGCGUGGGUAGCAAACA